GAUGAACGCUGGCGGCGUGCCUAAUACAUGCAAGUCGAGCGAACGGACAAGAAGCUUGCUUCUCUGAUGUUAGCGGCGGACGGGUGAGUAACACGUGGAUAACCUACCUAUAAGACUGGGAUAACUUCGGGAAACCGGAGCUAAUACCGGAUAAUAUUUUGAACCGCAUGGUUCAAAAGUGAAAGACGGUCUUGCUGUCACUUAUAGAUGGAUCCGCGCUGCAUUAGCUAGUUGGUAAGGUAACGGCUUACCAAGGCAACGAUGCAUAGCCGACCUGAGAGGGUGAUCGGCCACACUGGAACUGAGACACGGUCCAGACUCCUACGGGAGGCAGCAGUAGGGAAUCUUCCGCAAUGGGCGAAAGCCUGACGGAGCAACGCCGCGUGAGUGAUGAAGGUCUUCGGAUCGUAAAACUCUGUUAUUAGGGAAGAACAUAUGUGUAAGUAACUGUGCACAUCUUGACGGUACCUAAUCAGAAAGCCACGGCUAACUACGUGCCAGCAGCCGCGGUAAUACGUAGGUGGCAAGCGUUAUCCGGAAUUAUUGGGCGUAAAGCGCGCGUAGGCGGUUUUUUAAGUCUGAUGUGAAAGCCCACGGCUCAACCGUGGAGGGUCAUUGGAAACUGGAAAACUUGAGUGCAGAAGAGGAAAGUGGAAUUCCAUGUGUAGUGGUGAAAUGCGCAGAGAUAUGGAGGAACACCAGUGGCGAAGGCGACUUUCUGGUCUGUAACUGACGCUGAUGUGCGAAAGCGUGGGGAUCAAACAGGAUUAGAUACCCUGGUAGUCCACGCCGUAAACGAUGAGUGCUAAGUGUUAGGGGGUUUCCGCCCCUUAGUGCUGCAGCUAACGCAUUAAGCACUCCGCCUGGGGAGUACGACCGCAAGGUUGAAACUCAAAGGAAUUGACGGGGACCCGCACAAGCGGUGGAGCAUGUGGUUUAAUUCGAAGCAACGCGAAGAACCUUACCAAAUCUUGACAUCCUUUGACAACUCUAGAGAUAGAGCCUUCCCCUUCGGGGGGGGCAAAGUGACAGGUGGUGCAUGGUUGUCGUCAGCUCGUGUCGUGAGAUGUUGGGUUAAGUCCCGCAACGAGCGCAACCCUUAAGCUUAGUUGCCAUCAUUAAGUUGGGCACUCUAAGUUGACUGCCGGUGACAAACCGGAGGAAGGUGGGGAUGACGUCAAAUCAUCAUGCCCCUUAUGAUUUGGGCUACACACGUGCUACAAUGGACAAUACAAAGGGCAGCGAAACCGCGAGGUCAAGCAAAUCCCAUAAAGUUGUUCUCAGUUCGGAUUGUAGUCUGCAACUCGACUACAUGAAGCUGGAAUCGCUAGUAAUCGUAGAUCAGCAUGCUACGGUGAAUACGUUCCCGGGUCU
rnacentral:rRNA from 1 species